rnacentral:rRNA from 1 species
UGGGGAAUAUUGCACAAUGGGCGGAAGCCUGAUGCAGCGACGCCGCGUGGGGGAUGAAGGCCUUCGGGUUGUAAACUCCUUUCGACAGGGACGAAGCUUUUGUGACGGUACCUGUAUAAGAAGCACCGGCUAACUACGUGCCAGCAGCCGCGGUAAUACGUAGGGUGCGAGCGUUGUCCGGAAUUACUGGGCGUAAAGAGCUCGUAGGUGGUUUGUCGCGUCGUCUGUGAAAUUCCGGGGCUUAACUCCGGGCGUGCAGGCGAUACGGGCUGACUUGAGUGCUGUAGGGGAGACUGGAAUUCCUGGUGUAGCGGUGAAAUGCGCAGAUAUCAGGAGGAACACCGAUGGCGAAGGCAGGUCUCUGGGCAGUAACUGACGCUGAGGAGCGAAAGCAUGGGUAGCGAACAGGAUUAGAUACCCUGGUAGUCCAUGCCGUAAACGGUGGGCGCUAGGUGUAGGGGGCUUCCACGUCUUCUGUGCCGUAGCUAACGCAUUAAGCGCCCCGCCUGGGGAGUACGGCCGCAAGGNUA